rnacentral:rRNA from 1 species
UACAGAGGUGGCAAGCGUUGUUCGGAAUUACUGGGCGUAAAGCGCGCGUAGGCGGCUUUUCAAGUCGAUUGUGAAAUCCCCGGGCUUAACCUGGGAACUGCAGUCGAGACUGUCUAGCUAGAGUAUGGGAGAGGGAAGUGGAAUUUCAGGUGUAGCGGUGAAAUGCGUAGAUAUCUGAAGGAACAUCAGUGGCGAAAGCGACUUCCUGGACCAAUACUGACGCUCAUGUGCGAAAGCGUGGGGAGCAAACAGG